GCCAAACAGCUAGCUUAAACACCUAAUUAUACAACAUUUAAAAACCCCACUUAACCCACAAUCUCUUAAUUAAAACAUUUUUCCACCCUAGUAUGUGCGACAGAAAAGGUAUAUCAAAGCAAUACAAAAAGUACCGCAAGGGAAAGCUGAAAGAGAAAUGAAACAAACCAUUUAAGCCAAAUAAAGCAGAGACUAACCCUCGUACCUUUUGCAUCAUGAUUUAGCCAGCCAUCCUGAGCAAAGAGCACUUUAGUUCAAUACCCCGAAACUAAGUGAGCUACCCCGAGACAGCCUUUUAUAGGGCCAACCCGUCUCUGUGGCAAAAGAGUGGGAAGAUCUCCGGGUAGGGGUGACAGACCUACCGAACCUAGUUAUAGCUGGUUGCCUAAGAAAUGGAUAAAAGUUCAGCCUCGCACUCCCCAAAUCACAAGAAGUUAUUACUAAUUUAUGAUACGAGAAAUAUGCGAGAGUUAGUCAGAGAGGGUACAGCCCCUCUGAAAAGGGAUACAACCCUACUAAGGAGGUUAAAGAUUAUAUUACAUAAGAUUAUCGCUUUAGUGGGCCCAAAAGCAGCCACCUCAAUAGAAAGCGUUAAAGCUCAAGCAAUAGACAAUCAAUUAUUUAAAUAAAUCCAUCUUAUACCCCUAACCAUACUAGGCCUUUCUAUGCUAACAUAGAAGUGACACUGCUAAAAUGAGUAAUAAGAAGAACUAAUUCUUCUCCUGGCCAAUGUGUAAGCUAGAUCGGACCACCCACUAGCCAUUAACGAACCCACCGUAAGAGGGUAAUAUGAAUAUAAAAAUAAACAAGAAAAAACCAUAAUACAUUAAUCGUUAACCCCACACUGGAAAGCCCACAAGGAAAGACUAAAAGAUGAGGAAGGAACUCGGCAAACACAAGCCCCGCCUGUUUACCAAAAACAUCGCCUUCUGCAAAAAUCAAUAUAUAGAAGGUCCUGCCUGCCCAGUGACUUUAAGUUAAACGGCCGCGGUAUUUUGACCGUGCAAAGGUAGCGCAAUCACUUGUCUUUUAAAUAAAGACCUGUAUGAAUGGUGAAACGAGAGCUUAACUGUCUCCCCCAUCUAGUCAAUGAAAUUGAUCUUCCCGYGCAGAAGCGGGUAUAUUCAUACAAGACGAGAAGACCCUUUGGAGCUUAAGAUAAAAGACCAACUAUGUCAAAAGUAAAAAAUAACUAAACUAAAUAAUACUGGUCUAUAUCUUCGGUUGGGGYGACCACGGGAGAAAACAAAGCUCCCAUGCGGAUUGGGAAAACUUCCUAAAAUUGAGAGAGACAUCUCUAAAACGCAGAAUAUCUGACCAAAAGAUCCGGMUACAUGCCGACCAACGAACCAAGUUACCCUAGGGAUAACAGCGCAAUCCUCUUCCAGAGUCCAUAUCGAUCAAGGGGGUUUACGACCUCGAUGUUGGAUCAGGACAUCGUAAUGGUGCAGCCGCU
rnacentral:rRNA from 1 species